GUGAACAAAUUUUGCUUUACCAUUCCAUUUUUAGAAAGUAUUUCAUUCUGUACUUGAAAAUAAAGAUGUUUUAUGUUUGGUACUGCUAGGGAAAGUCUAGAACAUUCAUUUGUCCAUUGCUAUGAGUUUAUGGGAUGCCUACUUUAUGCUAUUGGGUUCAUCAUAUGCAUCCUAUCAAUUACUUUUUGUCUCAAGGGGUUUGGAAUCCUAGGUCCUACGGAGGGUCUUAAGAUGAAACUCGAAUUAAACCACUAAAGUAAUGCCUCAUUGCAUAAAAAAUGCGUACAUUCUCGUAAUGAAAAGGUAAGUUUGUGGAUGGUGCAACUGUUAUAGUUGUUGAGAACUGUCAUUGCCAUCGUUGUUGCAGUUAGUCGUAAUCACCAUUCUUAUCCUCAGUUGCUAUUGUUGUGGUUUUUUUUUUUUUUUUUUUCGUUUUUCUGGUCUCCCUUUUGCGGGGUUGUCAACGUCUUUGGGUUUUAUCUUCUCCUCUAUCUUCCCAUAACCAUCUGCCAGCGUUAUCAUUGUCUUAGCAGUCACCAUUGCCAUCAGUUGUUGUCGUCGUCCUUGUUGCCGUGCACAAUCAUUUUGUUCUCGAUGUUGUUUGGCUUUUCUUUUCUCCUACCUGGUUACUCCAUUUCUUGCUCUUUGUUCUUCUUUGCCAUCCUCCUCCUUUGUUAGAUUCUUUUUUGCUUCAAUUUAUAUUAUUGGUUUGUUGCUUUGGUUGGGCUCUUCUUACUUUCAAGUUAGUGUGGUUUGGUUUGCUGCUUAGGUUUGGUUUCAUGAGGUUCUUUGCUUUCCUGGUUGUGUGUUGUUGAUCAAAGGCAUUUUGUGAUGAAGCAUAGUAGUUGUUGUAUUGACAACAAGUACUUCCAUAUUCGGUUUGAAGAUGAGCAUUUCUUCGUUGUAGAUUUGGAUCUUAAGCCAGCCAUUCUUCUAUCUUUCUCUCACCUUGUUUGUAGAGUUGCGCACUAUCCGUCCCUACAAGGUACUUGGUCAAUUCAAGGAGGUUAUGGAACUCAUGACUAGGUGCUAGGACCAAAAUACACGAAACAAUAACUCAUAGUCUUUGAAAACCAUAACUAGCACUCUAUGGUACAUAGUGAUAAUCCAACCCAUGACUAGGCAAUAAUGGGCUAUC